rnacentral:misc_RNA from 1 species
GGAAAAUGUAUGAUCAAAGCGUCUUCUCAUUUGGAAUUCCUUCACCUAUGUUUGUGCCGUUAGCAACAGUAUCGAUCAUCAAUCUAAUAGCAUUUGUCAAAGGAAUCGAGACAGUAAUCUUUGGGAUGGAAAGUUUAGACGAGUUAUUCAUCCAACUAUUCAUUGCUGGAUUUGCAGUUGUCAAUUGCUUGCCGAUUUACGAGGCAAUGUUACUUAGAUCUGAUCAUGGCAAGAUGCCUAAGAAGAUAGCCAUUACUUCCUCUGUUCUUGCUGGGGUGCUCUGCAUUGCAUUUUCCUUAUUUGUAAGUUGAAAUUCCCGUAGUUGUAAAAGAUAAUGUCAACAAAUUUAGUUGAAAUUCCCCAUGUUGGUGGGGUGGGGCGCCCGUUGAUAAUAAAAAGAAGAUGAGGGCAUAA